rnacentral:tRNA from 1 species
UGGGGAAUCGUCUAACGGUAGGACGACAGACUCUGAAUCUGUUAGUCAAGGUUCGAAUCCUUGUUCCCCAGCCA